UUUGAAUAAAAUUGCUGUUUUGUGGCACAGACUUGGGAAUGGAUUGCCCUAGAACAUAUAUAUUUUGGUGAUCAAGAGCAAGAUUAAGAGUCGCAGUUCUGCCUGAGUCCACCGUCCCCUGACUGAGCGGUGCCUCCCUUGCAUAUGAAACUCGGAAAGGGCAGAGAGAAAACACCAAAACCACCAAGCCCAGCCAGCCCACACCUCAAGACCACUCAUUUUAGACACAUGGCUGUAUCUUAGCUUACAGUAAACAGCACAACAAGCAAAGGUGAGCUCUGGAUAUGCCAGUGAAAAGUCCCAGUCAGAACAUUUGGUUCUGAGUAGCGGAGAACCUUUGAGCAAUUUCAUUCACAGUUUUGACAGACUGUAUUGUUAUUAUUAUGAACUGUGCCUACCUGACCCUCAAUAAAAAUGAUGUGUUCAAGUCCUAA